CAGGAUCCUGUACGAGGUGGGAAAAACUAUGGGGCUGUGUUUAGAGCUACUGAAGUCUGCUCCCUGGGUUUUUUAGGUGGAGCUGUAACUUCUGGGACAGCCUUAAGGAAAGAGACAAAAUGGUGUGUGAUAGCACUGUUUGUUAAAUGUGUCUGGUCCUUAGAGACUGCUGGGAACUGCCCUACUGUCCUGGGUUGUUUUGUCUACCCUGGUGUCUUCCCACCCCUCCAAGAGACCCUGGUGCUGGUGCAAUGAGAAAAAUCAACUGUUGUUUGUUCCAGAUUAUGGCUAAAGGCUGUGGCACACAGGAGUGGCUGGCAUAGGGCACGGAAAGAUCUAUUUUUAAAUAUGGUGAAUACUUGAUAAUUCAGCAUCAAAGACUCUCCUCUUUCAUAAGCCGUGACUCCUUACCCCUGAUGAACACUGAGUCUCCAGCCAGCAUUGUCAGACCUUCCUUGUGGAUUAAAAAUAGAUCUUUGGGUUCUCCCACGCAUCACAGCUUUCACCAGGGACAUCGCUGCCACGUGGGAGGGCUGAGGCUUUUAAGCCAGUGCCAGAACAUGAGAGCAUUUCCCAAAGAGAGUGAUGUUGUGUGCAAAUCAGCACACAUUUGGUCUCGUCACGAGCUAGCAAUGAAAAAAUGGAGGUGUGGGUUUUCUGGCUGAGACAGCGGUGGUGGGGACAGCCACAACUCAGGGUGGCCCUGGGAUUUUGGGAUUUUCAGAUGGGAAGAAAGUCUUGGAGAGUUUGGGGUGCCCAUCACUUUUAGCCAUCAGCCUUUUCCGGAGUAGUCAUGCGUCUGUCUUCAGCAUGAGUAAGGGUAGAUACCUUGAACUCAGAUGUAGAAUGAGAAUGCUGUCUAAGUCAUUUUCUUUUCAGGCAUGGGUAGUUUUUAGCAGAUUUCAAAUAAAAGGAUGGGUUAUUUGUCUACAUUGAAUUACAUCACUGGCCUAAAACUGACAGAAAAAGUUAAUUCAGCCAACAGAACUAGGUGUCCUGAUGUGACACAACUGCAUUGGUCUGUAGGCACACAAGUGACAAAGAACAUCAACUGAAUCAUAGAGUCAUAGAAUCAUUAAGGUUGGAAAAGACCACUAAGAUCAUCUAGUCUUACUGUCCACCCCCCAACACCAUGCCCACUAAAUCAUGUCUCUAAGGACCACAUUUACAUGGUUCUUGAAUGCCCCCAGGGAUGGUGACUGUACCACCUCCCUGGGCAGUCUGUGCCAAUGCCUGGCCGCUGUUUUGGAGAAGUUUUUCCUAAUAUCCAACCUACACCUCCCCUGGCACUAUUUGAGGCCAUUCUUGUCCUAUAAAUGCACACAUACAGG
ensembl:lncRNA